CCUACGGGUGGCUGCAGUCGAGAAUCAUUCACAAUGGGGGAAACCCUGAUGGUGCGACGCCGCGUGGGGGAAUGAAGGUCUUCGGAUUGUAAACCCCUGUCAUGUGGGAGCAAAUUAAAAAGAUAGUACCACAAGAGGAAGAGACGGCUAACUCUGUGCCAGCAGCCGCGGUAAUACAGAGGUCUCAAGCGUUGUUCGGAAUCACUGGGCGUAAAGCGUGCGUAGGCUGUUUCGUAAGUCGUGUGUGAAAGGCGCGGGCUCAACCCGCGGACGGCACAUGAUACUGCGAGGCUAGAGUAAGGGAGGGGGAACCGGAAUUCUCGGUGUAGCAGUGAAAUGCGUAGAUAUCGAGAGGAACACUCGUGGCGAAGGCGGGUUCCUGGACAUUAACUGACGCUGAGGCACGAAGGCCAGGGGAGCGAAAGGGAUUAGAUACCCUAGUAGUC
rnacentral:rRNA from 1 species